rnacentral:rRNA from 1 species
UGGCGGCCUGCCUAAUACAUGCAAGUCGAGCGAAGUUUUUUCUGGUGCUUGCACUAGAAAACUUAGCGGGGAACGGGUGAAGUAACACGUAAAGAACCUGCCUCAUAGACGGGGACAACUAUUGGAAACGAUAGCUAAUACCGGAUAACAGCAUAAAUCGCAUGAUAUAUGUUUAAAAGUUGGUUUCGGCUAACACUAUGAGAUGGCUUUGCGGUGCAUUAGCUAGUUGGUGGGGUAAAGGCCUACCAAGGCGACGAUGCAUAGCCGACCUGAGAGGGUGAUCGGCCACACUGGGACUGAGACACGGCCCAGACUCCUACGGGAGGCAGCAGUAGGGAAUCUUCCGCAAUGGGCGAAAGCCUGACGGAGCAACGCCGCGUGAGUGAAGAAGGAUUUCGGUUCGUAAAGCUCUGUUGUUAGGGAAGAAUGAUUGUAUAGUAACUAUAUACAGUAGAGACGGUACCUAACCAGAAAGCCACGGCUAACUACGUGCCAGCAGCCGCGGUAAUACGUAGGUGGCAAGCGUUGUCCGGAAUUAUUGGGCGUAAAGCGCGCGCAGGUGGUUUAAUAAGUCUGAUGUGAAAGCCCACGGCUCAACCGUGGAGGGUCAUUGGAAACUGUUAAACUUGAGUGCAGGAGAGAAAAGUGGAAUUCCUAGUGUAGCGGUGAAAUGCGUAGAGAUUAGGAGGAACACCAGUGGCGAAGGCGGCUUUUUGGCCUGUAACUGACACUGAGGCGCGAAAGCGUGGGGAGCAAACAGG